rnacentral:sRNA from 1 species
GACCUGCGGAGGAUCAUUACACGACUGAGCAAGGGUCUUUACCCGAACUCCAACCCUCUGUCUUCCAACCUUUGUUGCUUUGGCGGGCCCGUCGGGGCAACCCACCGGCGGCGUCAGCGGCCGAGCGCCCGCCAGAGACCCAUCGAACCCGGUUAAUCGUGUAGUCUGAGUAUCAAUACAAUAGUUAAAACUUUCAACAACGGAUCUCUUGGUUCUGGCAUCGAUGAAGAACGCAGCGAAAUGCGAUAAGUAAUGUGAAUUGCAGAAUUCAGUGAAUCAUCGAAUCUUUGAACGCACAUUGCGCCCCUUGGCAUUCCGAGGGGCAUGCCUGUUCGAGCGUCAUGACACCACUCAAGCCGUGCUUGGUAUUGGGCCGUCGUCCCCUGUGGACGUGCCUGGAACUCAGUGGCGGCAUGGCCCGGCUUCAAGCGCAUUAAAGACGUAAGCUUCGAAAGCCCCGGGCUCGUGCCGGCCAGACAACCCCCGACCAUCACCGGUUGACCUCGGAUCAGGUAGGGAUACCCGCUGAACUUAAGCAUAUCAAUAAGCGGAGGAAAAGAAACCAACAGGGAUUGCCCCAGUAACGGCGAGUGAAGCGGCAACAGCUCAAAUUUGAAAUCUGGCCCGUUCCGGGUCCGAGUUGUAAUUUGUAGAGGACGCUUCGGGUUCGGCUCCGGUCUAAGUCCCUUGGAACAGGGCGUCGCAGAGGGUGAGAAUCCCGUACGUGACCGGCCGCCACGCCCGUGUGAAGCUCCUUCGACGAGUCGAGUUGUUUGGGAAUGCAGCUCAAAAUGGGUGGUAAAUUUCAUCUAAAGCUAAAUACUGGCCAGAGACCGAUAGCGCACAAGUAGAGUGAUCGAAAGAUGAAAAGCACUUUGGAAAGAGAGUUAAAAAGUACGUGAAAUUGUUGAAAGGGAAGCGCUUGCGACCAGACUUGCCCCCGGGUGAUCAGCCGGUAUUUUUACCGGUGCACUCGCCCGUGGUCAGGCCAGCAUCGGUUCCGGCGGCUGGACAAAGCCCCCCGGAAAGUAGCUCCCUUCGGGGAGUGUUAUAGCCGGGGGGGCCAUGCAGCCCGCCGGGACCGAGGACCGCGCU